GGGGCCGAGGGGCCCAGCAAAGUCCUUUCUCUGCCUGGAGCAGCCACCUGGGUGUUGGACUUCUCCAGCUGUGGUCACACAGCAGCACAGAAACUCCUCCUGCACCUUUGGCUCUCUGCCAGGCUCAGGCAGAGCUGCAGCCCUGAGCAGAGCUCAUCUUGGCUGGACACCCAGGCUGGGACCUGCCAGCAUCCAGCUCACAGUGCUGCAAGGGGAGGAGGCUGUGAGCAGAGGAGCCCAGCAGGGAGGAGGCAGGGAAACAUCUCCCUGCCAGUGCUGGAAAGCACUGAAAGAACUCAGUUCUUGUAAGCUCUUUGUUUUCUACCUGCCUUGUGGUUUCCUUGCACCUAGACCCGACCAGCCCUUUAAUCCCCUCUGCUCCCCGAGCUAAAUCACGAUGCAGACACAGCUAAAUAUGAGGAAAUGAAAAGGUU